AGUAUAAAUUUCAGCCAUUCUCUGCCUUGCUGCCUUUCUGCCAGACUUUCUACAGCAACAUGAAGGUGGGGGGCUUCCUCCUCCUGGUGAUGCUCAUCACCCUCAGCUUGGAGGUGCAGGAGCUCCAGGCUUCGGUGAGGCCACUGAAAUUGUUGGGUAGCUGCAUUGAGGAAUGCAGUGGUGACUGGGAUUGUGAUCCAGAUGAACGCUGUGUCAGCAAUGGGUGUGGCCACGUCUGUGUUCCAGCCUAAGGACAGAUGAAGAUUUAUCUUAAGGGUCAUCCUUCUCUAAUAAUUUCUCAUCACUUCCUAUCUUCAAAGAUGUGACUGGAACUCCUUGCCCUGGAAGACAGAUGAAAAUGGGGACCUGUGGAUGGAGAUUACAUGUGGUGGGCAAGGAGAAAGAGUCACUUCUUUCAAUAAAUCAUCAUUGUUAAAAGUA